CCUACGGGUGGCAGCAGUGGGGAAUAUUGGACAAUGGGCGAAAGCCUGAUCCAGCCAUGCCGCGUGUGUGAAGAAGGCCUUCGGGUUGUAAAGCACUUUCAGUGGGGAAGAAAGCCUUGGGGCUAAUACCCUCGAGGAAGGACAUCACCCACAGAAGAAGCACCGGCUAACUCCGUGCCAGCAGCCGCGGUAAUACGGAGGGUGCGAGCGUUAAUCGGAAUUACUGGGCGUAAAGCGCGCGUAGGCGGUCUGAUAAGCCGGUUGUGAAAGCCCCGGGCUCAACCUGGGAACGGCAUCCGGAACUGUCAGGCUAGAGUGCAGGAGAGGAAGGUAGAAUUCCAGGUGUAGCGGUGAAAUGCGUAGAGAUCGGGAGGAAUACCAGUGGCGAAGGCGGCCUUCUGGACUGACACUGACGCUGAGGUGCGAAAGCGUGGGUAGCAAACAGGAUUAGAUACCCUGGUAGUC
rnacentral:rRNA from 1 species